CAAGAUGGACUGGGCAUGGCUGAUUUAUAUCAGAGGAAAGUCCGGGCUGCACGGGACAACGCACCGGCUAAUAUACCGGGCAGGGCGACCUGACGAUUAGAGCAACAGUGACGAAACGAUUUAGUUCGAGUGAAACGGGCAAUCUCUGCGUGCAGCAACUUCAAAUAGGCCCCCGCACAUGUGUCCCGCAUUGGGGGCGGGUAGAAGGCUUGACAUAUGCAGCAAUGCAAUAUGCAGAUUAAUCAUGUCCACUACCGCAAAAUGGCACAACGCUGAUUUGUGGCAGAACAGAACCCGGCUUAUAUGUUUGUCUUGCAAU
rnacentral:RNase_P_RNA from 1 species